GGGCGCUCCAGCGUCGUUUGAGCCCAGGCGCGGAAGGGAAAAGGCCUCUGAGAUGCUCGCGUUUUUUGCCUGGGCGCGGUGGCGCACGCCUGUAAUCCCAGCACUUUGGGAGGCCGAGGCGGGCGGAUCUCCUGAGGUCAGGAGUUCGAGACCAGCGUGGCCAACAUGGUCAAACCGCGUUUCUACUAAAAACUACAAAAAUUAGCCGGGCGUGGUGGCAGGCGCCUUAAUCCCAGCUACUUGGGAGGCAGAGGCAGGAGAAUCGUUUGAACCCGGGAGGCGGAGGUUGCAGUGAG
rnacentral:lncRNA from 10 species